AGAACGAACGCUGGCGGCAGGCUUAACACAUGCAAGUCGAGCGCUCGCAGCAAUGCGAGAGCGGCAGACGGGUGAGUAACGCGUGGGAACAUACCCUCCGGUUCGGAAUAGCUCAGGGAAACUUGGAUUAAUACCGGAUACGGCUUAGCGGCGAAAGAUUCAUCGCCGGAGGAUUGGCCCGCGUUCGAUUAGCUAGUUGGCGGGGUAAUGGCCCACCAAGGCGACGAUCGAUAGCUGGUCUGAGAGGAUGAUCAGCCACAUUGGGACUGAGACACGGCCCAAACUCCUACGGGAGGCAGCAGUGGGGAAUAUUGGACAAUGGGCGCAAGCCUGAUCCAGCCAUGCCGCGUGAGUGAUGACGGCCUUAGGGUUGUAAAGCUCGUUUUGGCGGGACGAUGAUGACGGUACCCGCAGAAUAGCCCGGCUAACUCGUGCCAGCAGCCGC
rnacentral:rRNA from 1 species